GACGGAAACUGCGAACGGCUCAUUAAAUCAGUUGCGAUCUACUCGGCGUUCCGCGCCGCCGGAUAACCGUAGUAAUUCUAGGGCUAAUACGUGCGAAGCGCCCGAAGCCGCGAGGCGACGGGCGUUCUCGCCGGAUGUAGGAACCGACCCGGGGACCGCCGGGGCAACCCCGGCGCCCCCGAGACGGGGCGAACCACGGUGAAAUGACGGAUCGUCGGCCCCGCGCCGGCGACUCGCCGAAUGAGUUUCUGACCUAUCAACUCGAGACGGCGGGGUAGAGGCCCGCCGCGGUAACGACGGGUAACGGGGAAUCAGGGUUCGAUUCCGGAGAGGGAGCCCGAGAAACGGCUACCACUUCCAAGGAAGGCAGCAGGCGCGCAACUUACCCUAAUCUCGAUUCGAGGAGGUAGUGACAAGAAAUACCGAUGCGGGACCCUACGGGUGCCGCGUUCGGAAUGAGUACGAUUCGAACCACCUAACGAGGAACGAUCGGAGGGCAAGUCUGGUGCCAGCAGCCGCGGUAAUUCCAGCUCC
rnacentral:rRNA from 1 species